CCAGACUCCUACGGGAGGCAGCAGUGGGGAAUAUUGCACAAUGGGGGAGACCCUGAUGCAGCGACGCCGCGUGAGUGAGGAAGUAUUUCGGUAUGUAAAGCUCUAUCAGCAGGGAAGAAGAUGACGGUACCUGAGUAAGAAGCCCCGGCUAACUACGUGCCAGCAGCCGCGGUAAUACGUAGGGGGCAAGCGUUAUCCGGAUUUACUGGGUGUAAAGGGAGCGUAGACGGUGAGACAAGUCUGAAGUGAAAGCCCGGGGCCCAACCCCGGGACUGCUCUUGGAACUGCGCGGCUGGAGUGCAGGAGGGGCAGGCGGAAUUCCUAGUGUAGCGGUGAAAUGCGUAGAUAUUAGGAGGAACACCAGUGGCGAAGGCGGCCUGCUGGACGAUGACUGACGUUGAGGCUCGAAAGCGUGGGGAGCAAACAGGAUUAGAUACCCGUGUAA
rnacentral:rRNA from 1 species